GCGCCUUCUCGGCCUCAGAGUCCAAUGGCUCUGGACGCGCUUGAGGAGCCCUUCAACCCGCUGCUGCGCUGUGGGGGCCCCUCUCUGGGGCUGGCCGAGGCAGGAGCCGGCUCCCUCUGCUCACGGGGAGGUGUGGAGGGAGAGGAACGUCUGGGAGCCAGGGCCGCAAGCGGCACUCAGGGGCCUGCGCGGGUUCGGGUGGGCCGGGCUCAGAAGGCCCCGCGCUCAGCGCAGCCAGCCGGUGCCUGCUGGGCUUGAUCAGGAGAUGAGUUCCCUCUGGGCUGCCAGAGUGCCUGGGCUAGGUGCUGCAAAGUCCUAUAGCGACUGCCAUUGAGAAGUGAAGCCGGCUAGGCUUCUGGGUCAGGUGAGGACCUGAAGAACGUUUCUGUCUAGCUGAAGGUUUGUAAACGCACCAAUCAGUGCUUUGUCAAAACGGACCCAUCAGCUCUCUGUAAAACGGACCAAUCAGCUCUCUGUAAAAUGGACCAAUCAGCUCUCUAUAAAAUGGACCAAGCAGUAGGAUGUGGGUGGGGCCAGAUAAGGGAACGAAAGCAGGCCUCCCAAGCCAGGAGCGGCAAACUGCUGGGAUCCAUUUCCAUGCUGUGGACUCUUUGUGCUUUGCUCUUUGCAGUAAAUCUUGCUGCUGCUCACUUUUUGGGUCUGCACCACCUUUAUGAGCUGUAACACUCACCGCGAAGGUCUGCAGCUUUACACCUGAAGCCAGGGAGACCACGAACUCAUCAGGAGGAACGAACAACUCCAGACGCGCGGCCUUUAAGAGCUGUAACACUCAACGCGAAGGUCUGCAGCUUCACUCUUGAAGUCAGCGAAACCGCAAACCCACCAGAAGGAAGAAACUCCGGACACAUCUGAACACCUGAAGGAACAAACCCCGGACACACCAUCUCUAAGAACUGUAACACUCACCGCCAGGGUCCGCGGCUUCAUUCUUGAAUCAGUGAGACCAAGAACCCACCAAUUCCAGACACAGAAGUUACUGAACCCCAACAUUUUGGUUUGGAGUACUCUCUUCAGAAGUGUUCAAGGUUCAAAUUGAGGUCUUCUGUUGUCAUGGAAUAACUUUCUCAACAAUGAUGAUCCUCAAUCAAUCACUUAAAGGCCUGAAUAGAACCAAAAGUCUGACCUGCCCAUGAGUAACAGAGAGCUCCUUCUGCCUGAUUGCUUCAGCUGAGAUAUCGGCCUUUCCCUGCCUUUGGAAUUGAACUGCAACACUGGCUCUUCUUGGGCCUCAAGACUGCCAGCUUUUGAACUGUAACCACACUAUCAUCUCUCCUGGUUCUCAGGCCUUUGGACUCAAAUCAGAAGCAUACCAGGGGCUCUCCUACAUCUCCAACUUGCUAACUGUGAUCUUGAGACUUCUUAGCCUCCAUAAUCACAUGAGUCAAUUGUUGGUUCUGCUUCUCUGGAGAACCCUAAUCCAUCACUCUACAUCUUUGUUCCAUUAUACAUAUUGCUUCCCAGCAUAUUAAAUAAUUUAUCGAUUAUAUUUUUGGUUUAUUAUUUAUUUCUCCUACUGGAAUGUAAGUUUCACAGAGCUCUUGUUCAUUGCUAGAUCUCAAGCCUGGCAUCUAGUAGGUAUUCAGCAAAUAGCUGUUGAAAGAUGAAAAAAUAAAUCUAAUCUGCCAAGUGGAGGUAGGUACUGCGAAGAAGAAUAAAACCAAAUAAAGGAACUUGAGGGGAACAACAGCACUUCUUUUUAUAGAAGGUAGUUAGGUCCUGGUGGGACAAUGGACAUUACUACUGGGAUAUAAUGUUUAUCUUCCAAACUAGGCUAUCUUUCUUAAUCCUGAGAUCCUUGCAGAUUCACAUGGAGUUAUAAGAAAUAAUACAGAGAAAUCUCAUGUAUCCUCUACCCAGUUUCCUUGAAUAGUACCA
rnacentral:lncRNA from 1 species